CUUUUUGCUUGCUGCUUUGCAAAUGCCUUUAAUUCAAACUGCCAGACCUCGGCAGACAGCAGAGACCCCAGGCAGCAGUUCAAGCUGGAAGAAGCCAGAGUCUCCUGCCCUGAUGAUCUGAAAUCAGAGUUCUGGAGAUGAUACCAGGACACAGCAGGUUCAUUCUAGCAUUCCAUUCUCCAGAUACUUUCUCAGGAACAAAGACGUUGCAAGUGUUUGUUUAUUCCGGGACUCGCGUGAACUACUCAUCAGAAGUUUCAGCAGAAGACCCCGAAUGACUGCUUAUUGGCUUGCACGCAGCCUUUUGGGGUGGUUAUAACAUAUUUUGUACUAUGUGUCCUGUAACAGUCUUCUACCCAAGACUCAAAAGCAUGAUUUUGGAAAAGAAAAAUUUCAGCUUAUGGAUGCCUUCCGAUGACCAAAGUAGUCGACAUCCUUCGCCCUCAUGAGAGAUCCUCCAUCCAUGUAAACCGUCCUUAAUAUCUGACCCACAUAAUCUUUGGGUUUUCUUUGUCUUGCUUGCCUGGCCUUCUCUUGCCAGGCCAGGUAGGCUCUCACGAUGUACUUCUGGCCAGUCUGGAACUGCUAUGUAGACCGGGGGUGGGAUGGGGUUGUGUGGCGGGCUUUUUAGUCUGGGGUGGGUCUGGGAUGACAUUGACAGAGAUCUGUCUGCCUUUGUAGUUUCCGUGCUGGAACAGCAGAUGUAAGCAACCACACCUAGGUUGUUUCUAAAAGUUUUAAUUUUUACUUUUUUUCUUUAAAAAUUUUUAUUUUUAAGUUUUUUUUUUUAAAUGAGCACCAUUUAAACUUUCCUUUGUAAGCCAGCUCUUUAUUCCAAUUGUUAGAAAUAAGUAAUUAAGAACAAAGUUAGGUAACUCGAUCAAAAUUUAAGAUAUUUCUCAUACUCUUCAGAUCUGUAUACCAAAUUUAGGACUUAGAGAAAUUUGGUCCAGGAAGCUGAAACGUUUUCUGCUGUUUCGGUUUCUUGUUUUUUCUUUCUUUUGUUCCCUACUCCACAGCAGCCAAUCAUAGCUACCAAAAACACCUUGGAAGACACCAUACUUCUCUGUUCUGAAGAACGAAUAGGAUAGACGAGAGGGACCAUAUUGCUGGCUUUCAUUUCAUUUCUUUCAGUGAAAUAAAACCUCUAUUUUUGUUUGAGAUCA
rnacentral:lncRNA from 1 species